rnacentral:rRNA from 1 species
GACGAACGCUGGCGGUGUGCUUAACACAUGCAAGUCGAACGGUAAGGCCCUUUCGGGGGUACACGAGUGGCGAACGGGUGAGUAACACGUGAGUAACCUGCCCUCAUCUCUGGGAUAACAGUCGGAAACGGUUGCUAAUACUGGAUAUGAGCUUGCAAGGCAUCUUGUGGGUUGGAAAGAUUUUUUUUGGUUGGGGAUGGACUCGCGGCCUAUCAGCUUGUUGGUGAGGUAGUGGCUCACCAAGGCUUCGACGGGUAGCCGGCCUGAGAGGGCGACCGGCCACAUUGGGACUGAGAUACGGCCCAAACUCCUACGUGAGGCAGCAGUGGGGAAUAUUGCACAAUGGACGGAAGUCUGAUGCAGCAACGCCGCGUGCGGGAUGACGGCCUUCGGGUUGUAAACCGCUUUCAAUUGUGACGAAGCUUUUUUGUGACGGUAGCAGUAGAAGAAGCACCGGCUAACUACGUG